UACGUAGGGCGCAAGCGUUAUCCGGAAUUAUUGGGCGUAAAGAGCUCGUAGGCGGUUUGUCGCGUCUGCCGUGAAAGUCCGGGGCUCAACUCCGGAUCUGCGGUGGGUACGGGCAGACUAGAGUGAUGUAGGGGAGACUGGAAUUCCUGGUGUAGUGGUGAAAUGCGCAGAUAUCAGGAGGAACACCGAUGGCGAAGGCAGAUCUCUGGGCCGUAACUGACGCUGAGGAGCGAAAGCAUGGGGAGCGAACAGG
rnacentral:rRNA from 1 species